UGGCCUUGACAUUGAUAGAACACAGUAGAGAUACAGUGGUGCCCUUCGGGGAGCUUGAAAACAGGUGCUGCACGGCUGUCGUCAGCUCGUGUCGUGAGAUGUUGGGUUAAGUCCCGCAACGAGCGCAACCCUCGUGACUAGUUACUAACGGUUCGGCCGAGGACUCUAGUCAGACUGCCUCCGCAAGGAGGAGGAAGGUGAGGACGACGUCAAGUCAUCAUGGCCCUUACGGCCAGGGCAACACACGUGCUACAAUGGUUAGGACAAUGAGAUGCAAUAUCGCGAGGUGGAGCAAAUCUAUAAACCUAAUCUCAGUUCGGAUAGUAGUCUGCAACUCGACUACUUGAAGCUGGAAUCACUAGUAAUCGUAGAUCAGCUAUGCUACGGUGAAUACGUUCCCGGGUCU
rnacentral:rRNA from 1 species